rnacentral:sRNA from 1 species
CGGGCAGGUUUUGAGAGCUGUGGAGAGAGGGACAGAGGCUGGAGAAGGAUGCAUGGCCUGCCCUGGGCUUGCCUGUCCCCUCCUGAGCCUGAGCCCCUUACCUUCCUGACCCCAUGAGGCACGCACUGGCUCUGCUGGCUCCCCUGCUGGGCCUGGGCCUGGGGCUGGCCCUGAGUCGGCUGGCAGCAGGGGCCACAGACUGCAAGUUCCUUGGCCCGGCAGAGCACCUGAUAUUCACCCCAGCAGCCAGGGCCCGGUGGCUGGCCCCUCGAGUUCGUGCGCCAGGACUCCUGGACUCCCUCUAUGGCACCGUGCGCCGCUUCCUCUCCGUGGUGCAGCUCAAUCCUUUCCCUUCAGAGUUGGUAAAGGCCCUACUGAAUGAGCUGGCCUCCGUGAAGGUGAAUGAGGUGGUGCGGUACCAGGCGGGCUACGUGGUGUGCGCCGUGAUCGCGGGCCUCUACCUGCUGCUGGUGCCCACUGCCGGGCUUUGCUUCUGCUGCUGCCGCUGCCGCCGGCGCUGCGGGGGACGAGUUAAGACAGAGCACAAGGCGCUGGCCUGUGAGCGCACGGCCCUCAUGGUCUUCCUGCUGCUGACUACCCUCUUGCUGCUGAUUGGCGUGGUCUGUGCCUUUGUCACCAACCAGCGUACGCAUGAACAGAUGGGCCCCAGCAUCGAGGCCAUGCCUGAGACCCUGCUCAGCCUCUGGGGCCUGGUCUCUGAUGUCCCCCAACCCUGCAGGUCUCCGUGCACCACCUGCAAACUUUGAAUGCUACAGUGGUAGAGCUGCAGGCCGGGCAGCAGGACCUGGAGCCAGCCAUCCGGGAACACCGAGACCGCCUCCUUGAGCUGCUGCAGGAGGCCGGGUGCCCUCUGUGGACCAUGUCCUGCACCAGCUGAAGGGUGUGCCCGAGGCCAACUUCUCCAGCAUGGUCCAGGAGGUGAGAGCCACCUGGUCUGCCUGAUUUCUCCCUCACCUGCCAAGUGAGGGCCUCCGUUUCCCCCUUUUGGGCAGGAACCCAGUUGAACCUAAUAUUUGGGGCCCCACCCACCACACAGCACCCUGGGCAGGGGACUCCCGACGACCAUCCUUGGUGUGCACACCAUCUGUGCUCAGAGGGGAGAGCUGGGACCUUCAAGGUGGCAGGCAUCUGGGGGUGGCAAGGGAGCAGUGCUCAGUCUGAGCCCAGAGGGCAGGCGGUUCCCCCGGGUGGAGAUGGGCCAAGGGGGAGGACGCGGUGCUGUGAGUCAGCGCCCAGGACCCAGGACCUGGAGCUGGGGAAAUGAUGAGUCAGCUGUGCUGGGUGGCUGGAGUGGAAGGUUCCAGAAGGAAGGAAGUCAGAGCUGAGGCUGGAAGGGUGGACUGGAGCUGGACCUUCAGGAGCUAGACCUGGCAGUUGUGUGGAGGGUGGCUGAGAGUUCACUGCAAUGGUGGGAGAGGGAUAGGGGUAGGAAGAAGAGGUCCGGGGGAGGCAACGUUUUGGGAAGUUGAGUCAGACUGGGCCAGGGGAUGGGAGAGGAGAGCAGCAACCAAGAGAAAAGAGGGAAGCUGGGAGCACUGAGGGGGGCCCUCCCUCUAGGCCUGGUGACUUUGGGGUCUCCCAAGAGGGGACACUGGGCAGAGAUGGGGAGGCCCAGCCCUACUUGGUUCCUGCAGGAGAACAACACUUUCAACGCCCUUCCAGCCCUGGCUGCCGUGCAGACGUCCAGUGUGGUGCAAGGUUAGGCCGCAUGGGUCAGAGCCACCUGCCAGGCAUGGCUUCCCACCCCACCCCUACCAGGGAGGCUUGUUGAGAGAGGACUGGGGUGGCGGGGGACUGUCCUCCCUCUGUGGUUCCCAGAUGUUCUUCCUGCCCACUUGUCUUGUUCCUGAGCCCCAGGGUGCCCUCCGCAUCCCACAAGUCCCUGCUACUUUGGGCAGAGCUGAAGAAGGCAGUGGCCCAGCAGCCGGAAGGGGUGAGGACACUGGCUGAAGCGUUCCCGGGCUGGGAGGCAGCUUCCCGCUGGGCCCAGGCACUGCAGGAGGUGGAGGAGAGCAGCCGCCCCUACCUGCAGGAGGUGCAGAGAUACGAGACCUACAGGUGGAUCGUGGGCUGUGUGCUGUGCUCCGUGGUCCUGCUCGUGGUGCUCUGCAACCUGCUGGGCCUCAAUCUGGGCAUCUGGGGCCUGUCUGCCAGGGAGGACCCCAGCCACCCAGAAGCCAAGGGCGAGGCUGGAGCCCGCUUCCUCAUGGCAGGUGUGGGCCUCAGCUUCCUCUUUGCUGCCCCCCUCAUCCUCCUGGUGUUCGCCACCUUCCUGGUGGGCGGCAACGUGCAGACGCUGGUGUGCCGGAGCUGGGAGAACGGCGAGCUCUUUGAGUUUGCAGACACCCCCGGGAACCUGCCCCCGUCCAUGAACCUGUCGCAACUUCUUGGCCUGAGGAAGAACAUCAGCAUCCACCAAGCCUAUCAGCAGUGCAAGGAAGGGGCAGCGCUCUGGACAGUCCUGCAGCUCAACGACUCCUAUGACCUGGAGGAGCACCUGGAUAUCAGCCAGUACACCAACAAGCUACGGCAGGAGUUGCAGAGCCUGAAAGUAGACACGCAGAGCCUGGACCUGCUGAGCUCAGCUGCCCGCCGGGACCUGGAGGCCCUGCAGAGUAGUGGGCUUCAGCGCAUCCACUACCCCGACUUCCUCGUUCAGAUCCAGAGGCCCGUGGUGAAGACCAGCAUGGAGCAGCUGGCCCAGGAGCUGCAAGGACUGGCCCAGGCCCAAGACAAUUCUGUGCUGGGGCAGCGGCUGCAGGAGGAGGCCCACGGACUCAGAAACCUUCACCGGGAGAAGGUCGUCCCCCAGCAGAGCCUUGUGGCAAAGCUCAACCUCAGCGUCAGGGCCCUGGAGUCCUCUGCCCCGAAUCUCCAGCUGGAGACCUCAGAUGUCCUAGCCAAUGUCUCUUACCUGAAAGGAGAGCUGCCUGCCUGGGCCACCAGGAUCCUGAGGAAUGUGAGUGAGUGUUUCCUGGCCCGGGAGAUGGGCUACUUCUCCCAGUACGUGGCCUGGGUGAGAGAGGAGGUGACUCAGCGCAUCGCCACCUGCCAGCCCCUCUCUGGAGCCCUGGACAACAGCCGUGUGAUCCUGUGUGACAUGACGGCUGACCCCUGGAAUGCCUUCUGGUUCUGCCUGGCAUGGUGCACCUUCUUCCUGAUCCCCAGCAUCAUCUUUGCUGUCAAGACCUCCAAAUACUUCCGUCCUAUCCGGAAACGCCUCAGCUCCACCAGCUCUGAGGAGACUCAGCUCUUCCACAUCCCCCGGGUUACCUCCCUGAAGCUGUAGGGCCCUGUGGGAGUGAUCUGGUGGCCAGAACAGGAUUUUGCACUGCCCCUUCUAUCCUGCACAUGUGGCCUAGGGUCAUCCCCAGCCCAUCCCUGUGUCUGCCCUGAGUGCUGGACGCUGCGUUCCAGAAACGAGGAAGAGGAGAGAGAAGAGAUGGACAGACUUCAGAUCCUUAAAGUGUUCUCACUUCCCUGAGACUUGGUUCUGGGUCCUUAAAACCAGGUUUCCUAGGCUGGGGCCCUGUACAUAGUUGGUGUUUAAUGAGUGUUUAUGGAGAAGAGAGUUCUAAGGUCACCUCUGGCUGCAGGCAUCCAGGGAUUAUUCCAGCAAUCUGCAGGUAGGGAGAGGGUCCCAGCCUGGGAGCCUGCUGUCAGGAGCAGGCAGACCCGGACUCACAGCCUGGCUGUGAUGCUUGUUUGCUCAGCUUCUCCAUUUAUAAGAUGGGGAGAAUAGUCACAGCCUCCUCAAAGGGUUGUGAAAAUCAAAUGUGAUAAUUUGUGGAAAGCCCUUAGCAGUGGCCUGGCACAAAACAAAUGCUCAGUAGAUGGAAACUGCCUAUUAUUAUUGUCGUUGUUGUUGUUUGCCAUGACUGCUCUGGGCCGGGGGUAGAGCUAGCGUCUGGGCAUGUGCGAGGGAAGAGGGAGGCAGGCCUCUAUUCAAAGGCAGAAAUUCCUUUAAGAUUGUGGUCUGCUGGGUUUCAGGGAGUGUCUGUGUUGUUUGUUUUUGUUUGUUUGUUUGUUUUGAGACAGGGUCUCGCUCUGUCACCCAGGCUGGAGUGUAGUGGUGCCAUCUUGGCUCACUGCAACCUCCACCUCCUGGGCUCAAGCGAUUCUCAUGCCUCAGCCUCCCAAAUAGCUGGGACUACAGGUGUGUGCCACUAUGCCUGGCUAAUUUUUGUAUUUUUUGUAGAGACGGGGUUUUGCCAUGUUGCCCAGGCUGGAAGUGUCUAUGUUUAACUGCAUCUUAUAAACCAGCAACAAGUUUUCUACUAGAAAUUAGAAUGGUGCAUACACAAUGUAUUGUUAUCGCUGUCAGAUGAGCAUCCUUGAAUGUAGCAUGACUGCCUCUUUUUUGCGUUUCUUAGAGGUUUUUUUUUCGCUUGUUACUCAUCUGUUGACCUACCUGGGGGAAGUAGCACCCUUGCA